rnacentral:rRNA from 1 species
UACGGGGGGGGGUAAGCGUUGUUCGGAAUUACUGGGCGUAAAGGGCUCGUAGGCGGCCAACUAAGUCAGACGUGAAAUCCCUCAGCUUAACUGGGGAACUGCGUCUGAUACUGGAUGGCUUGGAUUCGGGAGAGGAAUGCGGAAUUCCAGGUGUAGCGGUGAAAUGCGUAGAUAUCUGGAGGAACACCGGUGGCGAAGGCGGCAUUCUGGACCGACAUUUGACGCUGAGGAGCGAAAAGCCAGGGGGAGCAAACGGG